CCUACGGGGGGCAGCAGUGGGAAAUAUUGCUCAAUGGGGGAAACCCUGAUGCAGCCAAGUCGCGUGAGUGAAGACGUAUCUCGGUAUGUAAAGCUUCAUCAGUAGGGAAGAAAAUGACGCUACCUGAGUAAGAAGCCCCGGCUCACUACGUGCCAGCAGCCGUGGUAAUACGGAGGGGGCCGGCGUUAUCCGGAUUUACUGGGUGUAAAGGGAGCGUAGUGGGCAGCAAAAGUCUGGAGUGAAAUGCCGGGGCUUAACCCCGGAACUGCGUUGGAAACUGGGCAGCUUGAGUGCAGGAGAGGUAAGUGGAAUUCGUGGUGUAGCGGUGAAAUGCGUAGAUAUCAGGAAGAACACCAGUUGCGAAGGCGGCUUACUGGACUGUAACUGACGUUGAGGCUCGAAAGCGUGGGGAGCAAACAGGAUUAGAUACCCGGGUAGUC
rnacentral:rRNA from 1 species